rnacentral:rRNA from 1 species
CAGCCGCCGCGGUAAUACGAAGGGGGCUAGCGUUGUUCGGAUUUACUGGGCGUAAAGCGCACGUAGGCGGAUCCUUAAGUCAGAGGUGAAAUCCCAAGGCUCAACCUUGGAACUGCCUUUGAUACUGGGGAUCUCGAGUUCGGGAGAGGUGAGUGGAACUGCGAGUGUAGAGGUGAAAUUCGUAGAUAUUCGGAAGAACACCAGUGGCGAAGGCGACAUACUGGUCCAUUACUGACGCUGAGGCUCGAAAGCGUGGGGAGCAAACAGGAUUAGAUACCCCAGUAGUCCCUGUCUCUUAUAC